UCGAUUUCCUCUCAACUGGAUCCACUCAAUCUUUUCACACACCCCUUCAACUCAAAACCCUAGCUCCAGGUCCAGAAUAACAAAGCAAGUAUAUUUCUUAAAGCUCCGACCUGAAUCACCAUCCGAAACUCAACCCGUGACCAGUUAGUUUUUGUCAAAAUGAGUUUUUUGAUUGAAAAAAAUCUAUUUAGGGUUUCUGGGCCGGCCAGAAAUAUUCAGUAAGAAGCGAUGAUGGAGUAAAUGAGAAGAAGUUGAAGACGGCCCGUGAGAGGAAUCUGGACAAGCUUAAGCUUCUUCCAAAGGUAGUCAACUUGAAGCCAGCAAGAAAGCUAUUAAGAUCGAGGUGAGUUGUGUAUGUUUCUCCAAGGUGAUUCGAUCACACUCGCUAAUCGCUAAAGCCGCCGGUCACCACCACUUCGAGUGACUACCAUCGCACCAACGCAUGUACUGCAAACAACAUACUGACGGGUUAUGGGCCGUGGUUGAUGUAUCUUUGGACAACUUGCACCCUUCCACAACCGCAAGAUCUAGAAGAAGGCCAUUGGGUUGUUUGAUUGAAGAACUUCCAAUGGAUAUUCGAAGGUCACAUGGGUUGAACAUGUUGAAGUCGAUGAUAGAGCUGUUCAUGACAUCUAUCGGUCACUAAUGAAUUCUGGUUUAGCAUUUGGGGCCAGACGAUGGGUAGCAACGCUUGACAGACAAUGUGAACGGCUUGCAAGCGCGAUGGCUAGCAAUAUUCCUUGAGGCGACGUUGGAGGUCGGAGAUGAAGUUUUCCUCAAAAGCAAAAGGCAUUCUAAACUCUACUGAGACUGUAGCAAGAGGAAGGGUCUAGAGCUUGGACCCAAAUGAUCUAGUUGGUGGUACAGAGAUUGGACCAGAAUGGUGUGAGGUAAACGUUAAAGUACCAAUAAAAAAAGAUGAAAACUUGGUAAGAGCAUAUGGUGGAUUUUCUACAAUUCAAGAUUGUAUUGGUGCAUCCAUCGCAUGGCCCUAUCCAUUCAUCUCGGUAGUCCAUGAGGAUUGAGGAUGCAUGAUGACUCAAGAUUUUAUGCUUCUUAUUUCUUUAAUUGCGUUUAAUUUCUUUUUGUUAAUUGUUAAGACUUUAUGUUAGAUAAUGUUAUAACUUAUUUAUGUUUAGUGUUUUUGUUAUGAACAUGCUUAUUUGAAAUAUAAUGAAAUUUUAUUUCUU
rnacentral:lncRNA from 1 species